AAGCGUGUUCUAAUGGAGAGCAUCCACAAAUCGAAGGCUGAGAAGGCAAGAGAGAAGACUCUCUCUGACCAAUUCGAAGCUAAGCGUGCAAAGAAUAAGGCUAGCAGGGAGAGAAAGAUGGCUAGAAGGGAGGAGCGUCUUGCCCAGGGACCUGGAGAGAGGGCAGCAGCUACACCUGCACCCCAACAGGCUGAGGGAGCGAAGAAAGCCAAGAAGUAAUUGGUGAACCGAAAUCGUACAUGUCAAAUGCUUUUGAUUUUGUUAGUUGCAGUUUGAUGCUUUUGAUUUUGUUAGUUGCAGUUUGUUACGUAAACUUGUUUCGCUUCUAUGAGAAAUUUUUUGUUAUAAAGGACAUAAUUUUGGAACAUUCUAAGCUGUAGUUUCUUUGAUUACACUUAAUGGUGAAUGUUUGUUUGUUACAUCCAUUGAUUA